AUGGGUUAUCCAGAACACCGUCAAGGCAACCUCACCAUCCCAGACACUAGCAAGGAUAUCUCUUACUUCGAGGCGUGGACCAUCAAACAUACCAAAGACGACAAGGACAAGGACCCACUCCACCAGGAGAGGGACCGGAUCAGAAAAUUAAAGGAGACGUACGGGCAAGAGGCUAAUCCUCACGUGCUACCGUUUGACCCUCUUGUGGCCAUUGUUGCGGCAGGCGGUAGUCCGAAUGGCCGGAUGGCGGUUCACCUCGAUUCUAUCAUAACCUCCUCCCUUCCGAGAGUUAACACGCUCCGUGCUAUGAGUACUGGCUCUACUCCUACCAUAGAGCGUCACGUACCACAUACCGUGACCAUUAUUGAGGAUAUUCAGACUUGA
rnacentral:rRNA from 1 species